rnacentral:rRNA from 1 species
AUUGAACGCUGGCGGCAGGCUUAACACAUGCAAGUCGAGCGAGCGGCGGACGGGUGAGUAAUGUCUGGGAAACUGCCUGAUGGAGGGGGAUAACUACUGGAAACGGUAGCUAAUACCGCAUACCAUCAGAUGUGCCCAGAUGGGAUUAGCUAGUAGGUGGGGUAAUGGCUCACCUAGGCGACGAUCUCUAGCUGGUCUGAGAGGAUGACCGCCGACGCUGGAACUGAUGCACCGUCUAGAGCCCACAGUGAGGCAGCAGUGGGUAAUAUUGCGCAAUGGUCGGUAGCCUGAUGGAGCCAUGCCGCGUGUGUUAAGAAGGCCUUAGGGUUUUAAAGUUCUGUCAGCGGGGAAGUGUUACCUGAAGAAGAAGCGCCGGCUAACUCCGUGCCAGCAGCCGCGGUAAUAC